AUUGAACGCUGGCGGCAUGCCUUACACAUGCAAGUCGAACAGCAGCACGGGUGCUUGCACCUGGUGGCGAGUGGCGAACGGGUGAGUAAUACAUCGGAACGUACCUUAUCGUGGGGGAUAACGCAGCGAAAGCUGUGCUAAUACCGCACACGCCCUGAGGGGGAAAGCGGGGGAUCGCAAGACCUCGCGCGAUUAGAGCGGCCGAUGCCUGAUUAGCUUGUUGGUGGGGUAAAAGCCCACCAAGGCGACGAUCAGUAGCUGGUCUGAGAGGACGAUCAGCCACACUGGGACUGAGACACGGCCCAGACUCCUACGGGAGGCAGCAGUGGGGAAUUUUGGACAAUGGGGGCAACCCUGAUCCAGCAAUGCCGCGUGAGUGAAGAAGGCCUUCGGGUUGUAAAGCUCUUUUGUCAGGGAAGAAACAGCAGCUCUAACACAGUUUGCGAAUGACGGUACCUGAAGAAUAAGCACCGGCUAACUACGUGCCAGCCGCCGCCGUAA
rnacentral:rRNA from 1 species